AAAAGUAGUAACUACGCCUGCAACUAAAAUGAGAAAACGGGGGCAGAGUGAGUGGAAUCAACCCACAGACGUUCUCGGAUGCUUAGUUGUUGGAACUGCUUUUCCGUCUGAAAAUUUCAAAUCUCUUCACCGAUAAACAGUCAGUUGACCCUUUUAUUCGGUCUAUGGAUGAAAGUACACGAGGGGCAUUCCUUCGUGCUUAAUCAACCUGCUCCAUCUCUACUGUUCUUUUACAGCCUAUGUACUUGUUUUUCACUCUAUCCGUUUUUCUGAUUCUAAGAAUAAUUCUUCCCAACAGCCCACCAGCUUAGCUGUUGAUAAAUUGUUU
rnacentral:misc_RNA from 1 species